GGGGAUGUAUUGCUUUGACGUAACAUCUUUUAGAUAGUCGCAGAUUGUCUUUGGACCAAAGACAUUAAAAAGGCCCGGACAAUAAAUGUCGAUAACAUAAUCUCAAAAGCAAAGACUGCUGUCAGCAAUUUUGUUGCCAGUUUCAAUGCUCCUGCUUUAGCUUAUUGCUAAUUUAGGCAUUUAUUUAUUUGUGUUAGUGAUGCAGAUAGGUAAGUGAAAACUCAGUCACUUGGCUAACUUUUUGAACUCGCGUUGCAAAAAGUUCUAAGACAUAACGCGGAUAGGUCAGUAAAAGUUUGUUUGUACAACUUAUUGAUCUUUAAUCGAAAGCAAACUAAAUCUGUAGAAGCUAUUUAAACAUUUGGAUACGGACGCGGGUUCAUAACCCGCCAUCUCCACUU
rnacentral:tmRNA from 1 species